UUUGAUGCAAUGCCAUUGUAGCUGGUGAGGAUAACGCGGGCACGAUCACGGCCUGACGAUGGUGAUCUGCAAUCUUUCUUGGGGCUGCUAACUAGAACAGCAUCACAGAGCUGAUCCGCAUGGUCAUCGUCUACAUAGAUCUUAUAGGUACCUGUGGAGUCUGUUGUUCCUUCCUUGCUGUAUACAAGCUCCAUUGAUUUCCUGUCCUUGCAUUCCAAUCUUACCUUUGCACCUAAAAUCAAAAGAACAUAUACUUAAAAAUCUCCACCACAAAAAUGUUACAUUUUUCCUCUAUGUUACUUUUGAUUAUCUUGUUAAUUAAGUUUAAUAGUAUAUUUUAAACUGAUCUUAAGCACAUCUUUAUUAUUUUAUUAAUUUUGUGGAGGGAGAAGUGGGUAGAUGACCAGAUCUAAAAGGAUACGAGUCAAACUCUUACUAAACCUUAGAUUUUCUUUUAUAAUUUUAAUUUAAAACAGUAAUUAUCUAAAUUAUACUGACAUUAUCGACUAAUCGAGACAGAGUAACACUAAGAAUCAAGAUUCAAGGUUUGGUUCAAGUUUACUGCAAAAUUAAACACAAACAGAACAGAUCUAGCAAUCUGCAAAAGCAAACAUGUGGAUGCGGUGGAAAUGAACAAGAGAAGAAGUUAUACCAGCGAUGUAGGUGGUUUUGGGGGUUUCGAAACCAGCACGGCAAGUGUCGCAGUAGACACGGCCUUCCACCUCAAAUGGAUUUCUUGCAGGGCGGGCGGCGCUCACGAUGGCCGGAAGCACGCAGAGCGCGAGCAGCAACACUAAUCGAGCCAUUGCGCU
rnacentral:lncRNA from 1 species